GGGUGCAUGGUCUAGUGGUAUGAUUUUCGCUUCGCAUUGACUACGAUGCGCCUUCUGUGAAAGGUCCCCGGUUCGAUCCCGGGUGCAUCCA